AUUUGAAAGCUGGCGUCUUCGACGUCCGCGUUGUAAUUUGUAGAGGAUGCUUCGGCGAGGACUCCUGCCUAAGUUCCCUGGAAUGGGACGUCACAGAGGGUGAGAAUCCCGUACGUGGCGGGCGGUCCAAGCCAUGUGAAGCUCCUUCGACGAGUCGAGUUGUUUGGGAAUGCAGCUCUAAAUGGGAGGUAAAUUUCUUCUAAAGCUAAAUACCGGCCAGAGACCGAUAGCGCACAAGUAGAGUGAUCGAAAGAUGAAAAGCACUUUGGAAAGAGAGUUAAAAAGUACGUGAAAUUGUUGAAAGGGAAGCGCUUGCAACCAGACUCGUUCGCAGUUGCUCAGCCCGCCUCUUGGCGGGUGUACUCUUCUGCGGUCGGGCCAGCAUCAGUUCGGGCGGCUGGAUAAAGGUGUCGGGAAUGUAGCACCCUUCGGGGUGUGUUAUAGCCCGGCGCGGAAUGCAGCCAGCCUGGACUGAG
rnacentral:rRNA from 1 species